rnacentral:rRNA from 1 species
AUUGAACGCUGGCGGCAGGCCUAACACAUGCAAGUCGAACGAGUGGCGGACGUGUGAGUAAUGUCUGGGAAACUGCCUGAUGGAGGGGGAUAACUACUGGAAACGGUAGCUAAUACCGCAUACCAUCGGAUGUGCCCAGUUGGGAUUAGCUAGGAGGUGGGGUAACGGCUUACCAGGGCGACGAUCAGUAGCGGGGCUGAGAGGAGGAUCAGCCACACUGGAACGGAGACACGGCCCAGACUCCUACGGGAGGCAGCAGUGGGGAAUUUUGGACAAUGGGCGAAAGCCUGAUCCAGCCAUGCCGCGUGUCUGAAGAAGGCCUUCGGGUUGUAAAGGACUUUUGUCAGGGAAGCGGUACCUGAAGAAUAAGCACCGGCUAACUACGUGCCAGCCGCCGCGGUAAUAC